UCACCCCUGCGAUGCGCGUGAUUAACAUUUGUUUUGAGCCAACAUUUUGAACCUGGGGUCCAUUCCUUGUUUGCGGUGAGCAGGUCGGCCUUUUAUCCGCUGGUCGGAGGGCAGAAAGCCUAAAGCAAUCAAUACCGGGCACCCACCUUGAACAAAGGUUCAAAAAGGUGAUUAACACGGCAUAAGCGGGGGUUUU
rnacentral:other from 1 species